CUUAACUUAUUUGAUUGACGAAGGGAUAAAAUCAGGUAAUUAGUAUAUAAGAAAGUAGGAAGCUAGAGGGCACAAUAGAUAGAGUUCUAGACCUAGAGUUAGGAAGACUUGAAUUCAAAUCAAGUCUCAGACACUGUGUGAUUCUAGGAAAUCACUUAACACUUUUUGCAUCAGUUUCACCAUCUGUAAAAAUAUCUGAAGAAAGAAAGGGCCAACCACUCUGGUAUCUUUGCCAAAAAAACUCCAAAAGGAAUCACAAAGAGUUGUACAACAACUGAAAAAUGACUAAACAGGAACAACAAAAUUAAAAAAUACUCUAGAAAGAAGGUCACAGAUUAUUUCAUUUUAAUAAUUCAGAUUAAUUGUAUAAUUGUAUCUUAAUUGUGUGGGCUUUAAAUAAACACAUUACAAAAAUCUGUUGGUAUUAGAGUUGUAUAAUUAGAUUUUUCUCCCCAGGAGUCUAAAUCACAGCUUCCUAUGUUCUUUCUCAUGUUACAUGCUAAUGUAGGGAGGAUAUAAGUUUUGUGUAGCUCCACCCUCUCUCUCUCUCUCUCUCUCUCUCUCUCUCUCUCUCUCUCUCUCUCUCUCUCUCUCUCUCUCUCUCUCUCUCUCUCUCUCUUUCUUUUCUCAUUAUUAUAUAAGCCUAGAAUAUGUCAAACACAAGAAGGGGAGGGGAGUAGCCAGUCAGUGACUGGGGGCCACUUAGGAGGGCCCAAGGGAAAGAACGCUCCCAGGAAAGAGGGUGGGGUCCAAAGUCUUAAUACAAGAGAGUAAACAGAAAGCCCUGCCAAGGAAAGCCCAGAUCAUGGGGCCCGACAGCCAGAUCCAAAGAGUUAGACAGGAAGCAGAGAAGAAAUUUGUAGCAGAGGUUCAAAGAUGUAGAGAUUGUCUAGAGUUAUAAAGAAUGUAUUUCUAAGCAGAGGAGUAGGUAUGAGUGAGAUGAUAGUUUGCCAUGCAAUUUUGAUGUGAAGGUCACGUUUUCUACAGUGCAAUGGGGGGGGGGGGGUGUCAUACAACAUCCUCCGUGUUCCCAACUGCAGUAGCACUAGAUGAUCUGGAGCAAAACAAUCUUAUUUGCUCUUUCGUCCGUCCUUCCUUCCUUCCUUCCUUCCUUCCUUCCUUCCUUCCUUCCUUCCUUCCUUCCUCUUCCUUCCUUCCUCUUUCUUUCUUUCUCUCUCUUUCUUUCCUUCCUUCCUUUCUUUUUCUUCCUUUCUUCCUUCUUUUCUCUCUUUCCUUUCUUCCUUCCUUCUUUCUUUCUUCCUUUCUUCCUUUCUUCCUUUCUUUCUUUCUUUCUUUCUUUCUUUCUUUCUUUCUUUCUUUCUUUCUUUCUUUCUUUCUUUCUUU
rnacentral:lncRNA from 1 species